rnacentral:lncRNA from 1 species
AGGUAUCGGUCGAUGUCUGAAGGAUCGAGCCAUAGCUACAGACCAUUAAUGAUGGGACAAGAAGGUUCUUCUUCGUAUCAGGGAUCUUCUCACCGUCGAACAAGAUCAGAGUACACGCCACCUGUGAUAAUGGAUAUGUUCGAUCACACAUUAUGUCAAGAUUCUGUGAAUAAAGAUUCUUCUGCUCAGAAUAUAGCAACAAAUACUCAGCUUGCACUUAGACGUUGAGCUCCUGUAACAAAAGAAAAAUGUAUAAGAUCAUUCUAUGUAACAAGUUUCAGAUACAGUACAAGUAAAUGUUAUUAAUUUAUUUUAUUUAUUUAUUAUAUUAAUGUAUUAUACAAAUCAAACAGAAUAGACAAAUUGUUUGUUGCUUUCAGCUUCGGUUUUGUAUCCUUAGGUCUUUUAGCCUAUAAUGUUUUAGAUCCUUUGUUUGUUGUUCUUACUUUUGUAAGAUCGUUCUGUUUAUAUCUCCCUUGUUUGGACUUCUUAUCUUCGGGAUGUUCGUACUUCGAACUCGCCGGCUUCACUUCUGGAAGAAUCAUGUCCGGCUUCACUUCUGGAAGGAUGUUAAUCCUUGUCAGCUUUGGUUUGUAUCUUUUGUUUCAAUCUUCUAAUAAAUUUUCAGUGAAAAAAAAGACAAAUUGUUUGUUUUGGUUUAACUGACUUAUUGUAUUCAAUGAAAAUAAUUCCCAAUAAUAGUAAAAGAGAACUGUCAAAAACAAUGCAAUGACUAAAAACAGAGAAAAAAUCUGUUGAUUGCUUCGCAUUCAAGGAACAAAAAAGAUCCACAUUAGGGCAUUUUAUCACAAAACCAGUGAAUGAUUUCCCCCAAAAACAAAACUCUUUCUCCGUUCCAAUCAGAAUCAAACCUCAGAACACAUUACAUUCCACCAAUCUUGUUCUUGUCUGCAUGCAGCAGAUUGAGAAACACACCCUUCUUUCUCCUUUCUAUCUCUCUCUGUUUCUUCUCACACAAAUCUCCCAACAGCCAUUUUUUCUACCAAUGGCAGAACUGAGAUCAGGUGUUCUAUUCAAGCUUCUAGAGGAAAUGGGUGUAGGAAAAGCGCGAAGAAACGUUGAUCAAAGACCAGUUUUGCUUCAGAUAAGAAGCAUAAUCCCCGUCCUAGCAGCUGGAGGGUUAUGGCCAAACAAAGGCUUCUUCUUGAGAAUCUCAGACUCAUCGCAUUCAAUGUACGCCUCCUUGCCGAGAGAAGAGAACGACCUUGUCCUCUACGACAAGUUACAGAUAGGUCAGUUGAUAUUCGUCGAGAAGCUUGAGUUUGCUUAUCCGGUUCCUAUGAUCAAAGGCAUCAGACCAACACCAGGUCGAAGGGCUUGCACCGGUGAACCUAUCGACCUGAUCCCUAAAGAACGUAUAGAGAAGUUCUGUGCAAGCCUGUCUGAUACAGAGGAAAGCUAUGAUGAACAAGUGAAGAGGCCGAGAAGGACGAGAUGGAGCAGUUCAAGCGUCUCCGAGAUGAAUGUCACAGAUUUUGGGUUGUUGAAGAAUCUCUCGAGUGUAAUGGAGGAGAGGGAUGAUACAGAGUCAAUGGUUUCAAAUUGCUCUUCUUCUUUGUCUUCAGCAGCUAGGAGAAGAAGUUGGAUGGGUUUGGGUGAUGCUAGAAAAAGAAGAGAUUCAUUAGAUCCAUCUAUGGUUAAGAGUCAUGUUCAUGACAUCAGAUUACAUGUUUCAAGAACUCGAAGUUAUCCUGCUGUAAGUUUUAUAGAAAUGUAUUAGGGAUACUGUAUCUUAAGGGUUAGGGCCAAUCCAAUUAACACUAAUUUUUUUUUAAGUUGGAAUCAUGUAAUAAACCCGAAUUUGACAUUUUGCUGAUUGUAUUUUUUUUUCAGGCUUCUCCCUCUCCUUCUGUGAGGAGCUGUGGAGUGAUAGAAGAGAAGUCAAGUAGUAGAACAAGAAGAAGAGAUAGUGUUGUUUCACCGUCUCCAAAAUGGGCUAAGAGUUUAAGCUAUGGAAGUGGAAGUAACAAGAGUAAGAACCUUCUUCUUCCACCUAGAAGCAAUACCCUAGAAUCCUCGGAUUCGAUAUCGAGGAAAAGAAGCUGGACAGAGACAGAGAUUCUCUGGAACUCACUUCCUCCCAGAGUUGCAAACCUAGGAAAGGUAAUACAGAUAACUUGUUGAUCAAGAAACAAGUUUGAAUGAAACUUAAACUAUAUAUUUUGGCAGGAGAUUCUGAGGCAGAGAGAUAAGGCUAUUCGCGCUGCGUCUCAAGCUUUGUUAGAGGCUUCAGCUGCUGAAAGAUUGCUCAAAUGUCUAAGGUAUGUGCUACAAGUAAAUGUAACUUCUUCCUCAAGCAAUGUUCUCACUGAAAAUGAUAUGUUUAGGUCAUAUUCGGAGCUUUCAGACAAGAGAAAUCAACACCAUCAUAAUCAUCAGCCACCUAUAGGAGAGUUCUUGAGUUUCCAAGAUGAGUUAAGCAAGAGCAGGCUAAUCAUAAAAUCAUUAUCAACUGAAGAAACAGAGCAUUGCAACUCAAGAACGGGAGAGGAAAGACGCGAAAAGGCGACUCAGUGGAUCAAAUCAGCUUUAGCUACGGAUCUCAAACCGGUUUCUUUACCCGCAAGUAAGCCUAAGCAGAGUCCCGCGAGAAAGAGUUUUACCCUAAUCGCUCAAGAAACCAAUAACCGUGAAGACAACACAAGGGAAUCAGAGUACACGCCACCUGUGAUAAUGGAUAUGUUCGAUCACACAUUAUGUCAAGAUUCUGUGAAUAAAGAUUCUUCUGCUCAGAAUAUAGCAACAAAUACUCAGCUUGCACUUAGACGUUGAGCUCCUGUAACAAAAGAAAAAUGUAUAAGAUCAUUCUAUGUAACAAGUUUCAGAUACAGUACAAGUAAAUGUUAUUAAUUUAUUUUAUUUAUUUAUUAUAUUAAUGUAUUAUACAAAUCAAACAGAAUAGACAAAUUGUUUGUUGCUUUCAGCUUCGGUUUUGUAUCCUUAGGUCUUUUAGCCUAUAAUGUUUUAGAUCCUUUGUUUGUUGUUCUUACUUUUGUAAGAUCGUUCUGUUUAUAUCUCCCUUGUUUGGACUUCUUAUCUUCGGGAUGUUCGUACUUCGAACUCGCCGGCUUCACUUCUGGAAGAAUCAUGUCCGGCUUCAC